CCUACAUGCAAAAUGAGAAUUUAAAAAAGAAUGAAAUAAAGAUGAAAUCAUACAGGGUGUCUCUUAAAGCCAUUUUAAACUAGUUUAAGCUGCUAAAGAUUAAUACUGCCCUAAAACUUUUGGGACAAACUCUGUUUGAUCCUGGAGCACUGAUGUUCAUUAAAUAGAGGAGCGUUUAGGAUCAGAUUUGUGCUUGAGGAAAAUCAUUUCAGCAGCUGCAUGGAGGAGGACUGCAGAAGAAACUAUAGUUUAUGAAAACGUUGUCAUUUUUGCUAAUUGAAAAUAUAGAGGAAGCACUGUUCUGGCUUUCCGGAUACAGUUUAAAUAUUUGGCUUUAUGCUGUAAAGGGGUAUGGCCAUUCCAUAUUGUCUUUGGGAACUACAUCACCCAGGAUCCUGUGAAAAGCACAACAACUCUUGGCAUACCCAGUUGGGAGGAAGAAUAGGAGUUUUACUGUGGGAGGAGACAAGGGCUCAAGUCUAGGGUUUAAGAAGAAAUUAGAUGCCCUGGCAUCUCAUUCACCUUGUUGCUGAACCCUGAAGGCACAAACUCUGUGAAACAUCCCUGUUCUUGGGCUGAGGAGAAACAAUUGCCCUCUGUAUUCUCCCUUACCAUCAGAGAGCCCUUAACCUAUGAUACCAUGCCUGAAAGACCCGCACAUCGAAUGCUGCUGCUACAGGCAGCCUGUGGGACCUGGCUGAGAAACCUGGUGUAUUCAAAGCUACUUGUAUAGAUGGUAACCCAACAUCCUGCCACGAAUGACUUAAUAUAUGCUGUUCCUGCUGGGUCUUGGAGGGGGCAAGAAAAGCCUAAGCUAAUCAGUAGCUGAGACCAACAUUCCCCCGAGAACCUAGAUGGAGAGAUGGUAGCUUUGAGAAUGGAUGGUGAAAGAUUAUCUACUGCUCGAUUUAACAUCUUGUUAUUAUUCUUCAAAGGCUUUGGGGAAGACGCCGAGCCUGGGUCUGUUUCUUGGGGCUUUGAUGUCACCCAUCUGGUGCUACAACCACCUGAACCAAAUUACAGUUCUACUUCAUCAGUGAUGUUUCCCAAGCAAAGAGACACUAACACUUUAAUGGAGUAGCCAUGCCAUAAUGAUAUAAUUUCUACCUUCUUAAAAAAUGGCAAGAAUAUUUGUAGAACUCAUGGGCAGAAAGACUGACAAGACCUGGCCCACUCUCCCCUAUCCCAUCAUCAUGGCUAUCUUAGGAACAGAACAGAACUAUACAAUAUAAUCUGAAGGAGUUGAAAAAUGAUACUGACAGAGAACAAAAGGCUGCAGAUAAGUUGAGCUGAGUGGUGUGUUGAUCAAUUCCUCGACUAUAUGUAAAACAAGACAGGUGGAUGAGCAAAGAAUCGUGGAAUCACAAUUUUCCCUCUUAGGGAUGCUGAGUGGAUGAAUUGGUGGGUAAGCUCACAAGUUUAGGGAGUGUCACUUGUGUUCUCUAUGACACCCGAGGAACUGUAGCAUCAAGGAUCCAAAUUCCUUCCAGAAUCUAAAUUGCUUUUAGGUAAUAUGUUAUUUCAGUACUUACAAAGAUCAGUGAUUUUAUCAGUGUGGCCACUCCCUCUACCAAGGUAGACCACAAACCCUGUUACACCUCAGGAUAAUCUUCACGAGCUACUGUGACCAGAACAAUUCAUCCCUCAUGAUCACAAGUGAUAAGAACGUACACCACACUCCCUGGAAAAACCUUGGGAACUGGAAGAGACUAGAACGAAUUGAAUAGUUAGCUCCUCUUCAGUGGAUUGAGCUACAGAUUGGGUUCUCCAUUCUGGUUUCAUCUCAGACAUAUCUUACAAUACUAUCCUCCCACUCCCUGUUUUUCCUUCUCUUGGGAACUACAAUGACCAUUGAUUAUGAAAAGGGCACAUCAAAGAAAAGUAAAGAAUCUUAAGGGAAUGAAAAAAGUAGAAGAGAAAGGAGACAAACAGUACCAGAUUUCAAACUAUACUACAGAGCAGUAAUCAUCAAAACAAUUUGGCAAAUUCUUUGUCAUAAUGGUCUCUGGGAGGAUGAAGGGAGAAAGAAGUGGAAAAAAUAGGAAAUUUUAAAAUAUAUGUAUAUCAAUAGCCAUUUAUUUUUAAAUGAUUUCAUAGUAAUUAAAAAUAAGAUAUUGAUCAAUGACAGAUAAGCUACAUAACAUACAGAAGCAAAUGGAUAUAGUAGUCUAACGUCAGAUAAAUCUAAGGACCAUAACUACUGGAGUAAAGACUCACUCUUAAACAAAAACUGCUUGGGAAAAACUGGAAAUCAGCCUGGCAGAAAUUAAGUUUGGACUAACACUUUAUAAUGUCUAUCAAGAUUAGCUCUAAAAGAAUACAUGACUUAAAUAUAUAAAAAAAUCAUAAUAUAAACAAAUUAAAGGAACAAAGAAGAAAUCUCUUCAGAUUUAUGUUUAUAACCAAAUAAGGGAUAGAGAGGAUAGCAGAAAAGAAAAUUUGCAAUUUUGAUUGCAUAAAAAUUUAACGUUUUUGCAU